CGGAGGGUGCAAGCGUUAUCCGGAUUCACUGGGUUUAAAGGGUGCGUAGGUGGGUAGGUAAGUCCGUGGUGAAAUCCUGCAGCUUAACUGCAGAACUGCCGUGGAUACUAUCUCUCUUGAAUACCGUGGAGGUCAGCGGAAUAUGUCAUGUAGCGGUGAAAUGCUUAGAUAUGACAUAGAACACCAAUUGCGAAGGCAGCUGGCUACACGAAUAUUGACGCUGAGGCACGAAAGCGUGGGGAUCAAACAGGAUUAGAUACCCUGGUAGUCCACGCCCUAAACUAUGGAUACUCGACAUACGCGAUACACUGUGUGUGUCUGAGCGAAAGCAUUAAGUAUCCCACCUGGGAAGUACGAUCGCAAGAUUG
rnacentral:rRNA from 1 species